CCGGCCCUUAGUAAGCGAGCCUGUCUGGUUUUAGGGCCUCUGGAGUUCGUGGUGCGGUUGGUUGGAAAGUUUGUGGCAAUAUCUCGGCUCAUUUGUGAAGGUUUUGGGAAUGUUGUGCAUCUGUGGUGUUUGCCAGGAAUUUCCUAAGCAGCUCAUGGUUGUGUGCGCUCCUGUGCGGGGCUGCUUGGCUUCUAACUUCAAGUACUUCUUAUGAACGCUGAUUCUUUGGCGGUGAGAUGUUGUAACGAUCACUGUAAACGGGCGCUAUUAACAUAUUUCAACCUUCUCGUCUAUUUUGAACUUGUUCUCCCUAUUGGGCUCUUCAUAAAACUACAGUGUUAUUUCCUAUACCAGCUGAAAGAGCCGCUGAGUUCAGAAAUGGAUGUGAAGCGUCCCCAAACCUCCAACACUGUUUCUG
ensembl:lncRNA